rnacentral:lncRNA from 2 species
CCUGGCCCUCGUGUCUCCCUCGCGCGGCAGCUCGGGGGCGAAACCCUAGCCGCCGCCGCCCCUCCUCCUCUGUCCUCCCUGCUUCGCCGCCGCCGGAGCUCGUCGCCGGCAAAGCCGGGCGACGCGCUGGGAUGGCGGCAGCGGGGUCAUCUCCCUCGGCUCCAUCUCGCCCCGGCGCGGGUGUGGCGACGAUGGCGGCGGGACGGCGAGGUCGCGGCGACGGCGUGGUGGUGGGGCUCCCCGCGGCGAUGGCAGCGCGGCGGUGGGGCUCUGCGCGGCUCCGUCGAGGGCGUCGCCAGAUCUGGUAGCCCCGCCAGAUCUGGCCGGGGUACGACGGCGGCGCGGCGGCGGGUCUCGGCGCGGCCGGCGACGGGUUGGCUGUUGAGGUGGAGUCGGAGCUGCUUGUCUUGCAAGCUCGGCAACGAUGACCCUCAACGAACGUCCCGGCAACGCGACGAGGGUUUUGAGGUGGAGCAGUUUGAGAGAGCCUUAGGUGAAAACCGGGUUCCUUUCGGAACGGGCGUUGACAGCAUCCUUGAUGUUGUUUCCUUGUUGAAGGCUUCGCUCAGAAGGUUUCUGCUCCACUAG